UGGAGAGCAAAUGUGCCAAGAAAGUCAGC
rnacentral:piRNA from 1 species